UGGGGAUAGUCCUGAGAUGCCCCAAUGCAGCUGUCUGUUAAUUUUGAACAAUGACAUCCACUGGCUGAGGCCUUGCCUCAGGACUCUAUGAAAGAGAGUGUGUGAGAGUGUGUGUGUGUGUGUGUGUGUUUGAGUGUACCACUCAGACAAUCAGGACAAUAUGUUUCAGAAUUUCCUACCUGCUGUUGUCUUUGAGAUGCAUGGGGCAUCAGCAGCCGUGUCCACAGGCUGGGAGAGGUCUGCCUGGCAAUGGUGAGGAGGAAUAAGGUCAGCACAGGCACUGGAGUCAGACUGGUUAGGCUUAUAUUCCCACCCUGACCUGUGAGACAGGAGCGGUGGAAGAAGAGCAGCACAGCCCCAGGGAAACCGUGGAGAAGCUUGAAGAUGCAGGAGAGCAAGGUAAGCCCCACUCACUGUGUGCAACUGACUGGGUGCAAAGCCCUCCAAAUGGCUCUCCUUUCCACUGCUCUUGCAACAGCUUAAGGGAACACAGAAGUGACCAGAACUAUCAGUUUCAGUGAAAUGAGGAAAAUAAUCGGGACUCAGAGCACUAAUGCUUUUUUCAGCCAUGGAGAAGCUAGGGUUUGAAUCCAGCUCUUCUGAACCUUAGACCCGAGCCGUUCGCACUGAAUCAGCCACCAGUCUCUCGGGAGUUUCCUGAGCGUUUACCAAAGCAGCAAUGCAGCGU
rnacentral:lncRNA from 1 species